UGGGGAAUCUUGCGCAAUGGGCGAAAGCCUGACGCAGCCAUGCCGCGUGAAUGAUGAAGGUCUUAGGAUUGUAAAAUUCUUUCAGUAGGGACGAUAAUGACGGUACCUACAGAAGAAGCCCCGGCUAACUUCGUGCCAGCAGCCGCGGUAAUACGAAGGGGGCUAGCGUUGCUCGGAAUUACUGGGCGUAAAGGGAGCGUAGGCGGACAUUUAAGUCAGGGGUGAAAUCCCAGGGCUCAACUCUGGAAC
rnacentral:rRNA from 1 species